rnacentral:lncRNA from 1 species
CAUAUGGGGCAAGCAACUCCUGAUACCGCCAGGAUGGGCUGGUUUAUUCAGUGUCUGUUAGCUGCGUUUAAAAGUUUUGUCUGUUCCUCAAGUGACUCUCCUGGAUGUAGCAAUAGGCCAGUAGCGAUGCAUGACAUUUUGGUCAGGUCAGGCAGUGAGAAGGAAAGAAAAUCUAAACUCUCUCUUUGAGAUUUUCAAUGCAAGAUCUGGGUGGAAGCCGACAAAUAAUUUGGAAGUACCCACGAUUAGUCAGUAUGAGGAUUUUACGCUCCCUCAAGAGUAAUUGAGGUGGGGGGUCGGGAUGGGGGGUGAAAGGGAUGAAGAGGGUUGAAUAACAAACUUCCAGCUAUAAAUAAAUGUCUUGGGGAUGUAACGCACUUGUUGACUCUAUUUAUAUUUAUAUUAACUAUAGUUAAUAACGCUAUAUUGUGUAUUUGAAAGUGGCUGAGUAGAUCCUAAAAUUUCUCAUCAGAAGAAAAAAAUAUGUAAUUAUGCAUAGUGAUGGAUGUUAACUAGACUUAUUGUGGUGACCAUUUCACAAUAUACACAGAUAUUGAAUCGCUAUGUUGUACACCUGAAACUAAUAUAAUAUGUCAAUUAUAUCUUAAUUAUUGUUUUUUAAAAAGAGUGCUCGAGGUUGUUUUAUCAGAUGGACAAAAGAAGCUAUUUCAAAGGGAAACAAGAAGACCUAAUAUUUAGAGCCUAAUAUUUAGACUCCGUGGGGUCCUUGAGAAAUGACUCUGUGUCCUGGCCACACUACUGGACAGUGCACUUGAAAUACCAAGUAAAGUAAAAGAAAUAAAUGAUAUCAGUGCCCCACAAACAUUUUCACGUAGGAUGAUGUAGGAAUCCCGGGUUCCCUCCUACCCUGUCCCCCCCACACAAAUCUUGACCAGGGACAGAGUUACAGAAAAGAAAAGGCUGGGUAAAUUUACACCACAGUCAUCACCACACACCCGCCAGAAGCCUCAAAUUAAAAUCUGGACAGUAUUACGUGUCAGCAAGAAUGUGAAGAUAUGGGAAUUACAGUGUGGGACUAUCAAUUGGUUUGUUGACUUUGAAGAAAAAAAAUGACAAUAUCCCCAGUAAAGCUGAAGAUAUGGUUACCCUAUGAUCCCUGCUUAAUACCAUAAGUAAAUCCAUGUGAAUGGUAACCAGAUAUAUAUAUAUGUGUAUAUAUAUAUAUAUACACACACAGAAGAAUCGUCUCAGAAGCAUCAUUUGUAGCUGCCAAAAGUGAACACAAUCCAGACCUCCAUCAACAAUCGAAGGAAUAAACAAAAUGGUGUAUUAAUAGGAUUAACUUGCAGCACUGAGUAUGAAUCUUAAAUACUUAAUAUUGAAUGAAAGAAAUCAGAUGCAACAGUAUAUAUAUGUUACCCUAAUUACACAAGGGGAAAAAUAACAGGCAAAAAUCAGACUAUGAUUUUGGCAUAGAAAUAGACAUGAUAAGAGUAUAAAGAAAGGCAAGGGAGGGUUAUUAUGCUAAUUUGGAUAUUCGAUACCCUGGGGGCAAGAGGAGUCUAGCAACAGUAGGGGGCAUGCAGGAGACCUACUGGUGGUAGUAGUACUCUAGUUCUUGACCUGGGUUGAUGUCACACAGUUGUUUAUUUAAUAACCAUCUAUAUGUAUCCAUUUUUUUUGUUAAGAUUAUGAUAGUUUACAACCUUGUGAGAUUUCAGUUGUACAUUAUUGUUGGUCAUGUUGUGGGUACACCACUUCACCCUUUGUGCCCUCCCCCCACCCCCCUUUCCCCUGGUAACCACCGAUCAGUUCUCCUUGUCUAAUAUGUAUCCAUUUUUUGUACUUGUAUAUUUCACAAUGAAAAUGAAAUAGAAGAAAGGAAGGUGAAAAGAAAGAAAUUUCUCUAUUCAUGAAGUUCUUAAAGUUAUAAUUUUGGUCAAUCAGGUUCUUCUCCAAAUUCAGAUUCUAAAAAAGUGAAAGCACAAACACUGUUUUCAGGACAAGUGUAACUGUUCUUUGUAAAUGUAUUUCACGUCAAUGACCAGCUCACACUGACCUCUGAGUCCGUAGGUUACAAUCUGAUUGACUCAGUACUUAAAAUAAGCUUAACUGGACAUUUUCAAAGAUUAUUUUCACAGAGCUACAAUUCACUCAGGCUCUUUUUUCUGUGGAUCUCAAAACAGGAAUCCUGCCUCAGCAAAUCUAGUAUUUAUUUGUCAGUAUGCUUUGGAGGAGAAAGAAGAAAAUUCUUAAUUUUGUCAACUUAAUAAUAGAAAUUGAAUGUGACUGUUGGGGGAGGCAAGCCUCCUUUCACAAUUAUGAAAGAACACAGGUUUAUUAACCAUGGAGGAUCCCAAAGUGAAGCCUCUGGGUCUCUUCCUAGGUCUGAGUUGACUUGUGGUGUCUUCUUUUUGUCCUUUUCUUCAUAUUCUGAUGAUUCAGACCACUUAACCCUCCUUCAUGCUGACAGAUCACCGUUGGAGCUGUGAGGUUCCUGUUACCCCAAGCUGGUGGCAUAUUCUCUCCAGUUCCCGCUUUCCUCAUUGCCACUGGAAAAAUCCCCUAGGUUUCCUCAGUUUGAAGUUCUGCUUAUUUCAAAAUAGUUUCGUUAUCCCUGCUACUGCGAACAUCUCGCCCUCUUGUUUCCAAGAAAGUUUAAUGAACAGACCUCUUCUCAAACUAAAGAUGAAAUCCCAUCAUUCUACUUAUUUUAUGUAGGAAAUCCACAUCUACAGGACCCUUCAGAGAGGGACCCCUCUUGCCCUGGAGUAAUCCUAUUAAGCACCUUCAUCUCACUGUUUCUAAUUAUAAUAAGAAAGUCAGAAGAAACUCGGUUUCUCCUAUAAUGAAUUCAUACAAGAAUUUCUGCAAGUGACAAAAUGUUGGAGAGAAUGACUUCAACACUCAACAGACUGAUUUUUUUAAAAAAAUAGAUCUGAUUAUUUCCUACAAUGUGAACAGCCUCUGUGUGUCUCCUAUGGCUUGACUGACUCACAAAGUUGUCCUUUCUUUCCCUCCAAUACCAGAAGUUGGAAGGAAACCCCUCCCAGCUACUGUAACAUAUAAGCAUGUAACUCAUUGUCUAAACACUGUAAUCGUGGAGGAUAUCAAAACUUGGCAAAGUGGAGAAGAUUGUUCUGUGCCAUGCAUCAUGAGGUCAUGACCAUCAGUGAAGACUGUCAGAGCCCUCAGUGGCCAGAUGACCCGCGUGCAUCAACUGGCGUGGUGUCACUGAAUUGGAGAUCUCUCCUUGUGUUCCAGGAGUAAACACAUGGAAGAUGUCAUAGACACACAGAAGGGAAUGCUGUGUGAGGUCGUAGCGAGGACUCUCCUCUUCAGACCAGGGCAGGGAACCCAGCACACCAGAGGGAUAUGGCACCUGCAUAACUGCUUCAGUGUUUUUGUUAUUAUUGUUGUUUUUUAUCAAAAUAAAGCAUUGUUUGCUUUGAUUCUCAUUCAGAAUUUUCUUGAAGAUACAUUCCAUCCUUUGAAUUAUAGAAAAUUCCUGUAUUUCAAUGAGGCGAGGACAUAUUCACAGGAAAAUGGAGUUCCCUUAUACGUAUGAAUCUUCUUGUGUCCAUUAAGGAGAUAUGGCAAGACAAACUUUUCCUCAGCACACUCCACAGACAUCCACUGUUAACUCUUCCUGCUUCCAAUGUCCUAGUUCAACAUGUCAGUUCUGGCACUCCAAAAUACAGAUGUGGCUAAAGUGACAAGUGUGGAAUCCUCGCUGAGCCUUGACACAGAGGGAAAACGUCUCUUUGAAUGAUAUUUGAGAAUUCUAGAUGGAAGGCCUGUUCCAGGAGGGAACUCCUACCAUGGAAACUACGGUGUGAUAUGAACGAGGUGUGACAGACAGCGAGGAACCCAGAGAGGCCGGGUGGAUCACAGUCCUCUCUGUCUCCAAAGUCUCUGCCAGGUACGGCAAACAAUUAUUUACCAAACAUUUACUUUCCCAUCUCCACAUGAAUUGACCCUGGAAGUCCCAGACCCCCACCGCCAACAUCCCCUGUGUCUUCAGCUUGAGUUGGUAAUUAAGGUGGUGGCUUCAGCCGUUUUGGUGAGUUACUCAGUUUUCCUAGGUUUCUCCCAUGCAUACAUGUUAUUAAACUUUGUUUUCUUUUUCUCCUUUUUUCUGUCUUAUGUCAGUUUAACUCUUAGAACAGCCAGAAGAACCUAGAAGAAUAGAGGGAAAAUUCUUCCCCCCCAUCCUAUGUAGGGAUUCAGCUUCUAAUAGCCCCUUCUUUCCGGAUUUUGAGCCUCUGGCUGCAGUUUAUCCAUGUCUGCAUAUGCCUGAGGAGCAUAGCAUUUGUAGUCAGAUACUCAUGAACAGGCGUUACAGAUUACACACACUUCCCCAUCUGCGGCCUCUGGGAGCAGUCAAGCCCACCCAGGCUUAAUACAGCAGAGAAGGGUGCAAACGUGCUGUAUCGACAGUCAGUAUCUGGAGACAGUAAUGUGAAAUGGAAAAAACGUUGUGAGCUAAUAGGAAAUAUAGAUAGGUCUCUGGCCACAGUUCCUGACACAGGGCUCCUGGAACACUGGUAAAUUCCUAAGUGCCAAGAGCAAUAGAAGCUUCUUUUGUUCUAACUAGGCGACUCUGGGUGGGCUCCUGUGUGGCUUUUGGAUGCAGG